rnacentral:lncRNA from 1 species
GCAGACGGCGGUCCAGUGAGUCAGUAGAGAGGCCAGCCCAACCCUCUUCAGAGGAUAUUGACCAGGCAUCAGAGUUUAUGGGAAAGGCACGUGCCUGGAGCCCGGUGCUUUGGGGGUGGGGGUGCGGUUUACAUUCUGCACAGAAGGGCAGGUCGUGGAAACCGAGAGGCAGGCCAAGCUCCCAGAGCAGCCACCCCCGGGGAGGGCGGCUUAGAGCACACGGGGCUCAAUGCCAACAUCUGUGCUCGCUGGGGUGGCGGGGGUAUGGGGGGGCACCAGGAGGCCUCCUGGGGCCACAAGAGUGAUCUCUUACCUGCCCAGGAGUCCCGGGAGACAGAAGCAAGUCAAGGCAAGGACUCGGAAGAGAAGCAGGGCAGACAGAAGCCAGUGGAAUGUAAGGACUUUCAACCACAGCUGACAGUUUCUGGACGUGAUUUAAAGGGUAAGAGGACUGAUCCUGGAGUGGAAGGAGCCUGGGGUGAAAGGGUCUGGGAGGAUCUAUCCAGAGAGACUGUAGAUAAGAAGCAGGGUGGCAGCGGGGGAAGGAGAGAGACGUCGGAGGGGUUGCGUCCCUGCGGGGAGGAGGAGGCCACGCUCAAGCCCCAGGUCUCUCUCCUUGGCAGAGACACCUGGACUGACCCUCACAGGGCGGACCUCUCGGGCUUGCUGGGUGGAGUGAGAGAUCAUGAGUGUGGGCAAGCAGAGGAUGCGUGCCCACCGGGCGAGAGACACCCCAGGGACGAUGCUCACUCACACCUGCUAGGGUGCAUGGGCCGCAUGUGUGCACACACGCAUGCACACGCAUGCACACACGCGUGCACACACGUGCACACACAAAUACACGCGUGCACACGUGCACACACAAAUACACCACGCGCACACACGUGCGCACACAAAUACACGCACACACGUGCACACACAAAUACACGCGUGCACACGUACACACACAAAUACACCACACGCACACACGUGCACACACAAAUACAUGCACACAUGUGCACGCGCCUGGGCAGACUGUGAACACGCAGGGACCUGUGCGUGGAUGCGGGCAGGCACAGCUGCGUCCGUGUAGACACCCACCAACACACGUCGCACACACGCAGACACACGCAUCCAAACACACCACACGCACACACGUGCACACACAAAUACACGCGUGCACACGUGCACACACAAAUACACCACGCGCACACACGUGCGCACACAAAUACACGCACACACGUGCACACACAAAUACACGCGUGCACACGUACACACACAAAUACACCACGCGCACACACGUGCACACACAAAUACAUGCACACAUGUGCACGCACAAAUACACGCGCGCACACACGUGCACAGCCCUCUGCUGGGCUUGUGAAGCCCUCUCACAUAUGUGGCCCAGGGCGACCUUCACCGCCACCCUAUGAGGUGACAGACACGGGAAAUGUACCCCCCCAAGCACAUGGGGGGCUGAGGAGGGUGCAGGAGGGCCUGGGCCGAGCCACUUGCGGACGGCAGAGCCCCCAGGGCCUCACCGGGCCCAGAGCCUCCCACUGGAUGCUCACAGCUAAAGAGAGCAGGGUCAACACUGUGCUUCCUCCUCCGGCAAAAUCUCCACCCCAAACUGCAGCCACAAAAGACCCUCGGCCAUUAGAGAAGGUGCCCCCACACUCCACACUUCAGGGAUCACCCGGAUCCGUCUACACAGCUACUCUCAGAGCAAGGAAGCCGUGUCCCCCCGUUUCCCAGAGGAGAAAGCUGAGGCACAGGGCUGGCCCCCGCCCAGACGACCCCUUAGAGGCAGAGGAACCCUCCCCGCAGCCCUGGGCUCACUGACCUGACAGCCAAGGACUGUCCCCAACCAGGGCCCAAGACCGCCAGGCCAGGCCAGGCAGCACCCCUCAGGUGGCCUCGGUGUGGGGCCCAGAGCGGGUUAGGGACGGCCCACUGCCCUCCUGUCCCUUCUGAGACCCCCCACUUCUCACAGCGGCCACUCCUGCUGGCAUAGCAUCCCAGGGCAGGCAGCCCUGGGGGCACCCCGCCAACCGAGUUAAUGAGGGGCUUUGCAACCAAGGGGAGCAGCCCCAGGAGAACAGCGAAGCGGUGGGGCUGGGAAGGUCCUGCCAGCAAGGACAGAUGAGACAACAGCCAGAGGGGGAGGCGGGCACCUGCUAAGGAGGCCCCUUGGCAACAAGAGGAAGGGGAAGAAGAAAGGAAAGAUCGAGUUAGCAUCACCUCCUCCAGGAAGCCGCCCCGGACCUCCCCACGGGGGCCGACCCUCCACCCUGUUUUCAACGAUGCUCGGCCAAGAGAAUGAACAGCGUGAUGACCAGCGUGCACGGGCAGGCCUCCCCCCAGCCUGUGGGCCCUCCGUCACCUCUGCCUUUCCCACAGCCAGGCCCAGCCAAGGCAAGGGCUCCAGGAGUCAGCAGCUCACCCGGGCGGGCGAGUGAAGGGCCUGGUGAAAGGGGAGUGGAGGCCGCAUGCCUGCAGGCCGCAGUGACCUCAAUGGCCUUGGGGUAAAGAGCGGGGAGGGGGCAGGAAGAGACAGAAGGGGGAGGAGGGAGAGAAAGGGGGGAGACAGCGAAACACUCGGCUGGCCAGACGGGGCCCCACCUCAGCCCCGGUGAGCCCCAGGCCUCCCCAGGCAAGGAGAGCAGUCAGCCCCAGAGUCUGGGGCCUCAGCCCCCAGCCCCUGGGCCUCUCCGAACACCAGCGCCCUCACAGCCCCACAGGCCAGGGUGCGAGUCCAGGACGAUGAUGUGGGCACAGACCUACAGUGCACCAGGCAAGGGCCAGCGACUUCGUUGCAAAUGUCCGAGAGUGCUGGUCUCCCAGGGGCCGGGGGCCCCGCCCUGCUCCAGUGAGGGCGCAGCGACGGGGGCGUGGGGGGCCUGACUCAUCCCCGAGCCUUGGGGUGCCUGACUCAUCCUCGACCCUCGGGGGCUCAGCGACUAAGUGAGGGGCAGGAGGCCGUUGGGGGGGGUCUGUUCCCCACACCCCUUUGUGCCACCCGACCCUAUCUGUGACCCGGGGCGGAGGUAGGGAUGGGAGACAGGGCCAGACAGCCAGAAGGCAGGGCGGGCAGGCGGGCAGUGCUCAGCGAAGGGCGUGGCCGCGGUGAGAGUCCAGAAAUAUCUGAAGGGUGGGGUCGUGGGGCAGGCUCUGGCCGGCACCCCAGGAACAGCCCCGGAGCAGCUCUGGGGAGAAGGGCCUCUGUGCUCCCACCCCAGGGAGGGGACUCCUGCCCGAGGCUACCGCCGGGUGGCAGUGACUCCUCUGACCAUGGAAACCUGCAUCAGAAGAGAGAGAGGCUUGGGGAACCAGCUUGCCUUCUGAACCCCUCCCACUGGCUGUUCUUUUAUGGGGAGGAGGGGGAGGGGAGGAGAAGAUGGAAAAGGCUGUCUUUCCAGCCAACUGGAUUGAGUCAGAGGAAAUUUAACCAUUUGGUGACUGUCAAGUCCCACAAAACUUGGACAACUCUUCCAACCAAAUAAUUGCCAAAAGCGACCACGUGACCGGCGUCAACCAAUGUCGUGCCGAGGAGAUGACCUCAAUUUCCAAAUAUUGGGGUCAUGUUUCAUUUCACUUACUCUCCUUUGCCCGUUACAAUGUUAAACGGCCCCAAACGCAAUCUGACUUUUCAUGCCUUCACACACUUGGCCAAGAAGAAGGUAGGAAAGAGAGCCAUGUUUGGAGAGAGCUCAGGAAACAUCUGGUGAAUCUCAAAAUGGAGAGGAGACGAGCUGCACCCCCACCCUGGAUCUCAGGGGACAGCCGCUCCCGUGGACUGACGAUGCCUUCCAAAGGGGUCCCACCCUGGGAAGGGAGGUGUGUGAAACCCACCCAGAGAGGUGGCUUCUUUGCAGGCCCUCAACGUCUGUUUGGCAGGAGCCAAAUGUCUAAGCCCACAGCCACGGCCCAGGCGCUGACCCCGUGCCUGCCUCAGUCAGGACGGGAAAGAGGAGGCAGGGGGCAGAGACGGCGAACAGCCCACUCCAAACCCAGACAAACAAAUGCUCUGCGUGCUCCCCAGCCCCAGCUGUGCGGGUGUGGACUCCCCUGAAGGAUUCCUACCUGAGCUCCUGGGGGAAAGCCCAGCAGAGGAGCAAGGGCAGGGUUACAUGGUUUUGUCUCUGAUGGAUGCCCAACACGGCUGCCCUGAUCACAUCCCCCAGCCCACUCCACACCACCUCCUUAGAGGCCUCUGCUGUCCCCCACCUCCAGUGACCCCAGGAGAAACCCAAAGCCUGUGAGUUGAGCUCAGGAUCCAGGAAACGCGGAUGGCAGUCCAGGGCUGAGAUCCGAGACCCCCAGAGCCAGGCCAAGCUCCCCGCGCCUUCCCCAGCCCCUGACCAGCUGGAUACCCUGACCCCUGUCCGCCCUGUCUGGCCCACCAGCACUCACUUGCCAGCAAAAAGGGACAGAGUAUCUUGAUUGGUGAGUGGAAGGUGGGAGUGAUUCGUCCUGUGUGUCUUCAAAUUACAAAGCAGAGCAGAGUGAGGGCUCUGAAGCGGUGCUUCCUCUGGGGAGGAGGGAGCGGGCUGGUCCAGCUGUCCCCUGGGCCACUGUCCCUUGCCUGUGCCUGCACUCACCCUGAGCCUGCUCGGAGCCCAUCUCCCACCAGCUGAGGGGAGACUUCGAGGGCCACGAGCUCUGAGGACUAAGGUGUUGGAAGACCUACCCCGCGGGACAGGCAACCGCAGAAGUGAUGCUUGGACACCCCCGAGGGCAGGAAAGUGUGUGGGAGGCAGUGGGGGCGGCAGGCAUCCAGGCAGGCUCCCUGUGGGUGCUGGCCGGCUGGUCGCUGCCCGCAGGAGACGGCUCCUUCUAAGGGCAGACCUCUGGCAGAAGUCCCGUCCGUGCAUCAUGUAAACGCUGGCAGCCCAGGCCCGGCAACAUCUCCCCGCCCCCCCGUGCGCCUGGAAUCCCGUCUUUGGGCAGCAAACUCUAGAAAACCUUCUUCCCAGGAGAAGUCGGGAGAUGGCGGGGGCUGCGUUUCUGGGAUUCCCGUCCCCCGCCCUCCACCCUCGCGUCCCCUAUUCCCGGGAGGCCCGGCCAGAACUGACCCGCUGUGACUCUAGGGGGCGACCCUUCCCGGGUUUCAGGAAAGGAAGUCGUGCUGCGCGCCUGCGAUGUGGGACACAGAAGGUAAAGUUUCGGGACAAAAGUCUGCCUGCCUGGUGGGCAGCCCCUGCGGCGCAUCCUACGCGGAGCCCCAGCCUCGGGUCCCCCGACAGCCCCGGCGGUCGGCCCGUUUGGCGCGGGGGAGGGCUGUGCCGGCGCGCCCCCCUCUCCGGGGCCCCCAGCUAACGGCAUUCGGAGUCUCGGGCCGCGCAUUCCACAGCCAAGCGGGGAAGGUCGUGCAGGCGCAGAAGAGGCCGGGAG